AGUUUGAUCCUGGCUCAGGACGAACGCUGGCGGCGUGCUUAACACAUGCAAGUCGAGCGGUAAGGCCUUUCGGGGUACACGAGCGGCGAACGGGUGAGUAACACGUGGGUGAUCUGCCCUGCACUCUGGGAUAAGCUUGGGAAACUGGGUCUAAUACCGGAUAUGACCACAGCAUGCAUGUGUUGUGGUGGAAAGAUUUAUCGGUGCAGGAUGGGCCCGCGGCCUAUCAGCUUGUUGGUGGGGUAAUGGCCUACCAAGGCGACGACGGGUAGCCGACCUGAGAGGGUGACCGGCCACACUGGGACUGAGACACGGCCCAGACUCCUACGGGAGGCAGCAGUGGGGAAUAUUGCACAAUGGGCGGAAGCCUGAUGCAGCGACGCCGCGUGAGGGAUGAAGGCCUUCGGGUUGUAAACCUCUUUCAGCAGGGACGAAGCGUCAGUGACGGUACCUGCAGAAGAAGCACCGGCUAACUACGUGCCAGCAGCCGCGGUAAUACGUAGGGUGCGAGCGUUGUCCGGAAUUACUGGGCGUAAAGAGUUCGUAGGCGGUUUGUCGCGUCGUUUGUGAAAACCCGGGGCUCAACUUCGGGCUUGCAGGCGAUACGGGCAG
rnacentral:rRNA from 1 species